GUGGCUCGUAAUAUUUGCUCCAUGGAAACCAAGCAUACCACGGGAGGAUUCAAAGAAUUUCUAUUGGGAAAUCAAAGGGGGCAAUAACUUCAAUUGGGAGAAGUCGCUAGAAAAGAAGGAGACCUCUACCUGGUAACCACAUUCUCCACGUGGACGUGGGAAUAAGAAAGCGUAGCAGAGACAUGAAAAGCAAGGAUCAUACCCCACCCACGCGGCGGCACGACGCAGAAGGGCUACAUGGGUUAAUAGCGGUGUGUGCAAUGGAAGGACGCCUACGAGAACAAGCUCGCCGAGGUCUUGGAAUUCCAACCUAGUUGUGCUCUUUGGCCAGAACGGUGGUAUCUUUGGCCAGAUGACUGGACCAUCUUCUAUGAUCCAGAAGAAGCACCUCUCGCACAAACAUGUAUAUUUAUUUGUGAAUCCGAUCCUAACAAGAGUAUUUGACCUUUAACAUUUUUCUGACAGAAAGUAUGACCACCAAAAUUUCUUGGAAUUCAAUAGCUCCUAAAACAGAUGUUUUGUCAUAGUGAAGGAACCAGAGGGGAGGAUAUAUAGUAGGAUGAAUGUCAUGGCAGCAACUGCAAGCUGCAAAAACAUUAUUGAUACGGGGUGCACCAGUUUCAACUGUGUCUUCUUGCAAGCUCCUUGUCAAGGAGAGUCCCAAGGUCAGUCUGUACUCUGUAGGCUAAUUAAUCCAUUGACUAUGUCCUAUGAUUCUCUAGGAGCACUAAGAAAUUGUAUGUUUUUUUAUAAGGUGACUGAAACAAAAAUAAUAAUAUUUUCACGCCACAUCCAGGAGAUGAAAACUUUAUUGGUAAAAAGACACAAGCUUACCCUUUUCAGCUUGUCUCAAGCAAUUAAGAGUUCCGUUCUUAUUUUUGAGCACUUCGAAUGUGUAUCUCUUAUGGACUAAUACUUUCUGAUCUGACACCCUGGUAACAUCAUGAUUUUGUGUAAUUUUUCUGAGCGCAAGGCUGGCUGACCCAUUUUUUUACAAGGAUUUGCAAUACUGAGAGACUCAGCCUGCACUGAUCACCCAUGCCUCCACUACGCCACCUGCUGUUGGAUGGCACUGGCCGUCCAAGCGCGUGGAACUGGAAGGACUGUCCUUCAUGGUGGCACAACUCAGCUCGGAGGAUAAAAGACCAAGGUCCUGCAGGUAACAUCCCAUCAACUACCUGUCUACUCCCUCCGUCCCAAUAUAAGUGACUCAACUUUGUACUAACUUUAGUACAAAGUUAGUACAAACUUGAGUCACUUAUUUUCGGACGGAGGGAUUACUAAAUAGAAAGCUUCCAUCUUGAUGUAAUUUACUGGAGGUUAAUCCUACUUGCUUGUUUGAUAAACCUUGUCAUAUGCUUCAUGUGAGGUUUCUUGUAUUGGUAGCAGGCAAUGAGUUACUAUAUAUGAUAUCAUAUUCCAAAUACAAUUAUUCAACUCAUCAGUUCAGCAGAUCCUACAUAAAAGGAAAAGUGAACAGACAACAUGCAUUUGCUUUGGUUUAUGGUUUUUUAGAGCAUCACUAAGUUUGCCAAAAGAAAUUCGCCCAAAACAAACAUCACGACACUCCGUUUUAGCCUAAACAGAAGUGGCUUCAGUUUAUGACAUCUCUGAAUUUUGAGAAUAGUAGGACAUGAUCUGCAAUUGCGCUUUGCAAGUUUUACUGAUUUCUUGUGCAAGAUCCUAAAACAGUUUACCAUUUUGAUCCCUAGAUUUUCUUAUAUUGUUGAAGUUUCUUCCAAAUAAAUAUACAAUAUGUUUGGGGUUUAUCUGAGUGCCUAGCAUGGUGCAACAGUUAUAUUUUUCUUCAAUGACGGUGAAAGAGCUAUCACUUAUAUCGAUCUCCAAUUCAAGUUCUUUUUUUCUAUGGAGGGCACUGUAACUAUCUCAUGGUCAGAACAUUGAUCCUGUUAGUAAUUUAGUCUAUAAUAUUUAGUUUCAAAAGAUAAUUUCUCUUGAGUGAGAAGUUUCCAUUUCUCUUGAGUGAGAAAUUUCCAGAGGGCGGCGGUGUUGAAGGGAGCCGCUGGUGCUGGCCAAGAUCCCAACCGAUGGACGCGCCUGGUCGCUGGAUCCAGUUCACGCGUUGGCUUGGGGGCACCUCGGGGAUGUCACCGGUGUUGGAGGCGUCCACAAUAGUGCGGGAUGGGGACCGAGCGUCGGGGCAUGUCGCGGGUUCCAGUUGAGGGCUUGAUCAUAUAACUGAAUUCUUAUUGCUUGCUUUCUGACAUUGUGACAUUGAACACUAGAGCUGAAUUGACUCUCUUCACAAGAUUCACUUUGAUACAGCCUUCAUGUGAAGUUUUCAAGUACUACAUAUAGGAGGGGGCAGGAGUGGCUGCAAUCUUGCUACGAAAUAACACUUAUGGAGCUUCUUUACCUAACAUGGCCAAGAAGUCUGCAAACUCCAGUAACCGUAGAGUAGAGCCGGUUGGAUACAUAUUUGCAGAGUGCAUGUAGUGUGUGUGUCAGAUAUAUAGUGGGAAAACACAACAAUGCAAGUGUCAGAUCCUGUUCUCGAUGCAAUUUUGCGACUCUAUUCUGGACUGUAA